ACACACACACGUUUCCAUAGAGAGAGGUUCCACUUUGCAUUAGCAGCUCAUGCUUCAGCGCUCUGCGAGUGUUUAUAGCCCUGUGACUUUAACACUUCAUGACUGAGAGCUGCUGCUCAGCGACUUCACCCACAGCAACCAUGAGUUUGAUCAGCGUCUUCAUCUGCACACUGGCUCUCUGCGCUCGAGGAUCCAGAGGUCAGGUGACUGUGACUCAGAGUCCUGCAGUGAAACCUGUUUCUCCAGGAGAGACACUCACCAUCAGCUGUAAAACCAGCUCUGCUGUUUAUAGUGAUUAUUUGUCCUGGUAUCAGCAGAAAGCUGGAGAAGCUCCUAAACUCCUGAUCUAUUAUGCUAGCACUAGAGCAUCAGGUAUUCCAGCUCGUUUCAGUGGCAGUGGAUCUGGAUCUGAUUUCAGUCUGACCAUCAGUGGAGUCCAGACUGAAGAUGCUGGAGAUUAUUACUGUCAGAGUGUACAUGAUAUCAGUGGUAGCUGGGUGUUCACACAGUGUUAGAGCGUCGUACAAAAACCUGUGUGAGUGUGACUGCUGCAGCUGGGACCUACUGCAGGUGCUGAGGGGGACGAUGUGAUACAGCACAAUCAUACACACACACACACACACACACACACACACACACACACACACACACACACACACACUGUGGAGGAGAACUAACACUCACACACACUCACAGGGGCAGUACUCAUUCAAUAUUUAAUGCUCUGUAAAGUGCUUAACCCUCAGACUUCUCAGCUCAGUUGCUUUGGAUAAAUGAUUAAACAUAAUUUUUGUUGAAUAAUGAACACUUGUUCAUUAUUUAACACACAAAUAUAUCUAUAACUUAACUUUAAUUUGUUACCAUUUUGUAACCUUAGUAUUUAUUUGAGUUAACAAUGAAUAGGAAAUGUAUGUGAACUCCUUAUCAUACUGUAUGUGGUUCUUCCCCAGAUUGUUGACAAAUUUGGAAGCCCAUAAUUGUAUAAAAUGUCUGUGUGUGCUGUAGCAUCACAAUUUCCCUUCCAUGAAGACGUGGUUGGAUAUUAUACCAGCAAGGGAGGGGGCGGGGAGAUAAAUCUGGAAAGGGAUGUUAAAAACACAAACUGGCACAUCUACAAUUUUGUAACAAGGAUUUUAUUAUUUUUAAGAGAGGUUUUAUUGGUUCUGGUCAUAUUUCUUUAUAAAUACCAAAUAAAUACCUACUUUGAUGUGUACAUUCCCAUGACAACAGAGAACAUUCCACAUGACAACUCUCCAUCUUUUUGUUCCGCACCAUCGCCCCCGACUCGAGUCUCCAUAUCCUUAACUCCACCGGGAUCUCCUUCCGGCAUGUGACUGGUCGAUUCCGGUACUGGAGGAGCUCCUCUUAUGGAGUACACUACAUUGCAUUGCUGGUUGCGGUAUCCAUUAUCUUGGUCGAGGUGUCCUUUUACUUGCACACUGUUAAAAAAUGGACUGGAAAUUCAAUUUAAACAAUGAACAGGACAAGCUACAAUCUACUGUAGCGGUGCUCAAGUAAUCAAAUAUAGUAAUAAAAUUAAAAAAGAAAAUUAAAGAAAAAGAGUCAAAGUAGGAAAGGGAGAGAGAUCUGCUGUGCCGUGCUGUGUGCUGUGGU